UAAAAGUUUUAUUUUAGCUUGUUAUAUUGGUUUAAAAUUUUUUUACAUGUAAGUUUUAGCGUAUACUAUAUAAAAUUUAAAAAUUUUUAUAUUUAUAAUUUAUUCGCAGUUUAUAAAUUUUUAUAUUUAAGAAAUUAUGAUUAAGAAAUUUAUUUUAGUAUUAACAAAAUUUGUGCCAGCAGUUGCGGUUAUACAAAUAAUUCAACUAAUAUUUUUUAAUUAAUAAUUAAUUGUUAUUAUUGUAAAUAAAAAUUAAAAUUAUUAAGUGAAAUUUUAAUUUUAAUUUAAUUUUAUAAAAAAUAUUUUGAGGUUAUUAAAUUUUUAUUUAAACUAGGAUUAGAUACCCUAUUAUUUUAAAUGUAAAUUUUAUAUUAAAUUAGUAAUAGUUAUUUUCUUGAAAAUUAAAAAAUUUGGCGGUAUUUUAGUCUCUUCAGAGGAACCUGUUCUAUAAUCGAUAUUCCACGAUUAAUUGUACUUAUUUUAUUAGUUUAUAUAUCGUCGUAGUUUGAAUAUUUUUUAAGAAUUAAAAUAUUCAAUAAUUUUUAUAAUAAAUUAAAUCAGAUCAAGGUAUAGCUUAUAAAUAAGAAGAAAUGGGUUACAAUAAAUUUAUUUAAAUGAAUUUAUUAUUGAAAUAAUAUAAUGAAAGUGGAUUUGAAAGUAAUAUAAUUUAUUUAAAUUAUAUGAUUUGAGCUCUAAAAUAUGUACAUAUCGCCCGUCGCUCUCAUAUAAAGUGAGAUAAGUCGUAACAAAGUAGGUGUACUGGAAAGUGUAUCUAGAAUGA
rnacentral:ncRNA from 1 species